GUUACUUUAAACCAUAUAGUCCAAUACCUCUAGCCAUCAUUCGUCUCGUCAUUUAUUGCCUCUGUCUUGCUUUGUUUUUGUUCUUCUCUAGCUAUUGUAGCGCUUGAUCAACCAUGGCAACCAUUUCCAAGCUCACCACACCGAGCCCUGCAGCUUUUGCAUCUACUUUGAAACCUAGAUCUUCGUAGCGGAAGCACUUUGAUCAGAUUCUAUAGUGGAAGCACUUUCAGUAAUCUCUAGAAAAACAGGGAAGAGUUGAAUGCUAAAAUUGAGGAGUUUAAUCGAGAGGUUCUUGGUUUAAAUGUUGAUUGAUACAAGAGUCAUUUGAUUGUUUGCUUUACAAAGUAGUGAUUUGGGAGUUAUUACGAAUCUAGAUAAGGUGUCACACAUGUCUCCUUGUUAGUUUUCUAAUAUGCCAGUAAAUAAAUAAUUUUUGUUUCUAUGCAUAGGUAGUUUCUUUCCACCUUUUUGGUUUACAAAGAAGGGAUGAAUGUUUAGUUUAUUAAAUGAUAAUUGAGUGGUACGAAUUAUUGUUUUGCCAAUGUUGAA